rnacentral:rRNA from 1 species
CCCUUAGAUGUUCUGGGCUGCACGCGCGCUACACUGAUACGUUCAACGAGCUCCUUGACCGAGAGGCCCGGGUAAUCUUUGAAACCGUAUCGUGAUGGGGAUAGAACAUUGCAAUUAUUGUUCUUCAACGAGGAAUGCCUAGUAAGCGCGAGUCAUCAUCUCGCGUUGAUUACGUCCCUGCCCUUUGUACACACCGCCCGUCGCUCCUACCGAUUGAACGUGCUGGUGAAGCGUUAGGACUGGAGGUCUUGGGCCGGUUCGCCUGCCCAUAGCUUCGGGAAUUUCGUUGAACCCUCCCGUUUAGAGGAAGGAGAAGUCGUAACA